ensembl:lncRNA
GUUGUUUUUUUUCUGAAAUUUAUUUUCUUCUCACCAUUGAAAAGAAGAAGAAAACUAAUUUCUGACUGUUUUGGGAUUGUCAGAAUUUGCCUUCAAGGAUAAAUCUUCAAGUUUUACUCAUAGUGCAGUGUUGCUUUCCGUACAUCCCGUGCCCCCGCAAGACGCCUACUACAACAGUCCAGGAAUACUCUGGCAUACGUCCUGUUGACUGGCCUGUGCUUCUUUCUGAAGAUAGAUCUUUGGUAUGAAAACAGAUGCCUGGUUUUCUUCUUUUACAGGAUGCUUUAGCAACAGAGACAGAUGCUGGCGGUAUGGGAGUAGAGGUCGAACCUUCCCACCAAUAUCCUGUUACAUUUUGUUGCCACGUGACUGAUGACAGCAGUGGGGCAACCUGACAAUAUGACGUCAGACAUAGAAUUGCGUAUGAAACAAAGGAAUUGAAUUCUUCCAAGUGGAAAAAAAUACACUCAUUAACAUUCACUAACACUUGAUGAACAGUGUUAGAGAGUGAAGAGUGGAUGUGAGCACUGUAAGGUGGUAAGUAAGUGAUGCGUUUCAGCAUUGGUGACAGCGAUGUGAAAGACAAGAUGUUCUGGAUGGUCACGCACAGCUGUCACACUACAAAAUGAAGAGUAUCUCAUUCAGUUCAUCCAUGUGAAUCACCAGAUUAUGACCAGGGAGCUUUGUGUGGAGCUUCAAUGUGUUGGAAAUGAAGGUGGCAACGUUGGAAUAUCCCACAGUUUUUGCCAGAUGUACAAAACAAACUGGGAAACCUACUAUUAAGUUGUGCUACCCUGAAACAGUUCAGAAAUAAGGAAGAUGAUUUCUGAGAACCAAGGAAUUGCAAAGACUCCUAUUUCAUUACAGAGUGUAAAGCUGUGGACAUUCAGUGCUUUUAUUUUAAUUUCCACUCUGAUAAGUGAAUCAGAGUUGUGAUGUGACAGUAACCGAUGGACAAUGAUCAUUCAGCCAAAUGCAAAUACUAGAAUUUUUAAAUGAUUGCCCUCACAUCGCAUUGAAAGACUCAUCUCCUGGAUCAUAUUCCCUCCCACGAUACAACAUAUCCUUCAUUUCAUGUCUCUGAAGCGUAAGUCCUGACUUCAAUCUUAAGUAAAAUUUUUAAAAGCAGACAACCUCAGAUGAAACCACGUUUUCCAACCUUGUACGGCAUAGACACAGCUUCACAGGUACUUGUUCACCAAUUAACUCACUGUUUAUGUGCUGUUACAUUGAAUUUGCAGCACUGUUCAUCAUAGCAUUGUUCACGAUAUGCACAGAAAGAAUGAUAAUGAGCUGUAUCUCCUUUCUAGUAUAUUUUAGGCUCUACUGGUGAUAAAAUCCAUG